UACGUAGGGGGCAAGCGUUGUCCGGAAUUAUUGGGCGUAAAGAGCUCGUAGGCGGCUUAGUAAGUCGGCGGUGAAAUACCGAGGCUCAACCUCGGCACUGCCGUCGAUACUGCUAUGGCUAGAGUUUGGUAGAGGAGAACGGAAUUCCCGGUGUAGCGGUGGAAUGCGCAGAUAUCAGGAAGAACACCUAUGGCGAAGGCAGCUCUCUGGGACGGUACUGACGCUGAGGCGCGAAAGCUAGGGGAGCAAACGGG
rnacentral:rRNA from 1 species